rnacentral:rRNA from 1 species
AGAGUUUGAUCAUGGCUCAGGACGAACGCUGGCGGCGUGCUUAACACAUGCAAGUCGAGCGGAAAGGCCCUUCGGGGUACUCGAGCGGCGAACGGGUGAGUAACACGUGAGUAAUCUGCCCUUGGCUUUGGGAUAACUACCGGAAACGGUGGCUAAUACCGGAUACGACACAGGUGUGCAUGCGCUCUGUGUGGAAAGUUUUUUCGGCCAGGGAUGUGCUCGCGGCCUAUCAGCUUGUUGGUGGGGUAAUGGCCUACCAAGGCUUCGACGGGUAGCCGGCCUGAGAGGGUGACCGGCCACACUGGGACUGAGACACGGCCCAGACUCCUACGGGAGGCAGCAGUGGGGAAUAUUGGACAAUGGGCGGAAGCCUGAUCCAGCAACGCCGCGUGAGGGAUGACGGCCUUCGGGUUGUAAACCUCUUUCAGUACCGACGAAGCGCCGAUGAUGGUGGUGACGGUAGGUACAGAAGAAGCACCGGCCAACUACGUGCCAGCAGCCGCGGUA